rnacentral:rRNA from 1 species
UACAGAGGUCUCAAGCGUUGUUCGGAUUCAUUGGGCGUAAAGGGCGCGUAGGCGGCGGGGUAAGUCGGGUGUGAAAUCUCAGAGCUCAACUCUGAAAUGGCACUUGAUACUGCUCUGCUAGAGGACUGGAGAGGAGAUUGGAAUUCACGGUGUAGCAGUGAAAUGCGUAGAUAUCGUGAGGAAGACCGGUGGCGAAGGCGGAUCUCUGGACAGUUCCUGACACUGAGGCACGAAAGCUAGGGGAGCAAACAGG